rnacentral:rRNA from 1 species
UACGAAGGGGGCUAGCGUUGCUCGGAAUCACUGGGCGUAAAGGGUGCGUUGGCGGGUCUUUAAGUCAGGGGUGAAAUCCUGGAGCUCAACUCCAGAACUGCCUUUGAUACUGAAGAUCUUGAGUUCGGGAGAGGUGAGUGGAACUGCGAGUGUAGAGGUGAAAUUCGUAGAUAUUCGCAAGAACACCAGUGGCGAAGGCGGCUCACUGGCCCGAUACUGACGCUGAGGCACGAAAGCGUGGGGAGCAAACAGG